GGCAAAAUUAGGGCACAUGGUAUUGGGUGUAGAGUGCUGACAUGCAGGGCCGGCUUUAGGAGGUGCGAGGCCCAAUUGGGAAAAUUGUUCGUAGAAAUAUAAAUAAAUAAUCAUCAAUGAGUCACGUGGCGUG